rnacentral:lncRNA from 1 species
CAAAGUUCCUGGGAGCUUGAGGACAGGUGUGCAGCCUUGCUUGCUGUCUACCCUGGUUCUCAGAGCACUUUCCAAAGAGCUUCCAUGGUGACGUCAUCAGGUCCCAAGUGGGGAAACGGAGGUAAGCUGUAACCCAGCACCUGGCCCGAGAGCAGCCUCUGGCUCUUGAGGUUAUGGCUAAUCCUCCCCACAGCCUGGACACUGCUGUGCCGCUCCGUCUUACGCAGGAGGAGACCAGCGCGGCAGGACCUGGUUACCUGCCCAAGGUCAUACAAGCUGAAAGUGGCCAAGCCAAGAUUUGAACCAGGUUUAUCUGGGUCCAAAGCCAUUGCUUCUGGGAGCCGAGUGAGAGAGCCGGGUCUGUGAUGCUGUGAUGAGGAAACUGAGGCUCCGAGGCUCCUGACAUGCUGAACUCACCCAGCUGGAAAGUGGAAAGUGACAGAGCAGGGAUGUGCUCUUCCCACCUGACUGCACUGACGGACCAGAGUGGGGCUGCUGGGAGUCGAAACUGCCAAGUGUGGCUUGUCAGGGCCCUUGUCUGCAGCAUGCCCAAAACUGAAAAAUAAAUUGACUCAAGGGAGGGCGUUAGCCGGAUGGCGGGCCUGUGGGAGCUCGGUAUUUUUAGUCAUUUUGUCAUACAGACCAGGAUGGAAAGAUGAGAAACCACAGGGGCUGGCACACGCCUCGGGAUGAACUCAUGAGCCCAAAAUAGGUGGAGCCGAAGCCCUCAGAUGCUGGUCGUGGGGCGUCUGUGCUGACAAGCCACAGAAGUGCUAGGUUCUUUUUUGUGUUUUUCUGGGGCCCCAGACCUCUUUUAGAAGGUUGUAAUCAAAGGAUAUUUGAGCUAGAAAGAACCUUGAAGAUUUCAGAGUCUACUCCCUCUCUUGUACUAACAGGGAAACUGAGGCUGAGAGAAGAGCAGUUUCACAAACAUGAGCAUCAGAGCCAGGCCCUGUCCAGGCCCCUCAGCCGCAUCCUUCCCCCACGCCCCUCUGCCUGCCCGCCAGCCCUUACCCUGGCUGCCUCGCCCAUCCCAGGUGAGGAUGAGGCCGAGGCCGAGUGUGGAGAGUGCAGCUGCCAUGCAGGGAGCUAGAAAGCCCCGGCUCCGAUUCAGCCCCUUCGCUUGUGAACUUAGUGACCGUGGCUCUGCUGCUUUACCUUUUCUAUGAUGCCCAUUUCUCAAAUCACGAUGUUAUGGCUUUUUGUGAGAUUAUGAGACAAUAUAUAAACGUGACUUCCUGCUCCACCAACUUGGGGGAAUUUCUGGAAGGAGGGAGGUAUGUGAGGUGGUGUAGGAGACCCGUUGGUACCCUCCCACCAGCCAGUCCCUCCUUCCUCCCUCCUGGCAGAACCAGAUCGUGUCUGGGAGCUUCUCUCAUGGCAGGUGCCUCAAAGUGGUGGUCAGCCCCCAGGACAGGAGCAUCAGGAUGAUUGUAGUGACCUCAUUCUCCCGGCCAGGAACUGUUCAGUGUGUGCUUGCAAAACGGUUCUGACGAAUAAAAGAUGAAAGGACAUCUGCUGGAGGCUUCCAGGGAAGGUUCCUCCCUGAUUAAAAGGAUAAAAAAUCACAUGGGAAGAAACAGUCUCUGGAAAUUGUCAUGAAAAUGUGACAACUGGGUCUAUUACAGCUUCACCAUGAGGGGGUCAACCUGAGGACAGAGGAGAGCAGAGCAGAAAGAUGAAAAGAACCUGGGUCCUCGACAAGGGCCUUGCCUCUGACUGCUUGCUACAUGAGAUCACAAAUUCCUCGUCAUUUAAGCCAUUUACCUCAGAGGCUUUUGAUAUUUGAAGCCCAGAUCAUUCUAUCUGCUCCAGAUGAGUCCGGACAGAAGUACAUAGUAAUUUUACUUUUAAUGCCAAGGCUGACUCAGGACUUGACUCUCCUUGAGGCCCUUUCAAAAGACAGUGCAACCUCAUUAAUCCAGCAAAAUCUCCCUCUUUUAUGUGAACUUCCUGACGCAGCCUUUUAGCCCCUUGCUCCCGAGGGCUGCGUGUCGUGUUCAAGGCAUAUCACACUUAGAUCACAGGGUCAGCCAGGACAAUGAUGCCAGAAGACAUGCAUCCUCCUCGUGUUCUCUCACCAUUCCUCAACCGGGACCUGCCCUUGGAGGGUGGGCAGGAUCAAAUUUCCAGUGAGCAGGAGCUCAGGGGCUCAGUUCUGGCUCAGGUGCGAAUUCCCUGGAGAGGAGCCACGUCCCCAGUCUGAGCCUCGGUUUCCUCACCUAAUCAAUGAUGAGGUGGGGUUAUAGCAAGCCCUACUUCAACCAGAACAGCUCUGCUGUUGUUUGUUUAUGUGUCUGGGUUAGGUCUUAUUUCUGCCCCAAAAGUUUUAAAACCACUGGAUAAGAUUACCUUUAAGGGUCUUUCCAGAUCUAAGGUCCUUUCCUACCCGCCAUGGGUGACUGGGAACUAUCUAAAGCAAGGUUUGCGACACAGAUAUCCACAGGGCAGGGCAGGUGACGCGAACAAGAGAAGAGGGCCCAGGGGGAGGCAGCAGGGAACGGUGAGAACUAGAGUGAACACAUGCAUCUGAGCAGACCCACUGUAUUUAGUUGUUGCUUUGAGGGAAUUCAGGAUCGGGGUUCCCAGAGUUGAUCAUUUUUCAAGAGAAGCCAGAAAUCUGGAUUUCUACGGGAAAUAUUUGGAUACAAGCCAAAUAAAGCAAAUGUAGCUUGUGGGCUACCAAUUUGCAAUCCCCCAUCUGUAGAGUGACUCCCAUACAGAAGGACUGUUGAGUCGAGGGAAGGAAUAAAAGUAUAAUUAGAGUGACUGUUUAUUCAGUGUCUCUUGAGUGCCAAGCCCUGAGCCACGAGCUUCGUGGACAUCAUCUUGUUCAUUCCUUGCCACGACCCUAUGGCCUCUGUCUGAGUCCUUUGCCAGAGUCUGUGUCCCACCCUGUCCCGUCCCUCGCAGGUCAGCUUUGGCCUGCGAAGCCCUGCAGUUUUUCUGUCCCUCCCAGGGGCAGCCAGCCCUGAGCAUGCCCCUCAAACUGCCUCCCUGCUCUCUUCCCCUUCCAGUUGAAGGACAGAGUUUAAUUUGGGAGCAGGCUGGAGAGGGGGCCCGUGAAGACGUGGCCGAGGUCGAGGGGAGGCAGUGGUGGGAGGAAGGGGAAGAGUGGUGACCAGACUGUCAAUUCCAGCAUUGUCAAAUGUGGAGUCCCAGCUGGCCCUGACUCCAUUCUUUGCCCUAAAGGCCCAGGUGAGUAGGUGGGAAACCAGGAAGGGAGAAAAAUCAAGUUACUGAGCAACUCCUGUGCCCCAAACCCUGUCCUUUAUGUAUGUUGCUUCAUUUAAUCCUCACAACAACUGAAUGAGGGUAAUAUCCCCAUUUUACAGACGAGGAGACUGAGGCUGAGAGGGUGGAAAGCAUCAAAUCCAGGCCAGAAGUCUGGCCAGUUUAGCUCCAAAGCCUGUGCUGCCCUUCCAGAUCGCGUCAAGCUCAGGCGGGGUAGUUAACUGGACUAGUUACAGCUCCCACGCAAGAGGGGUUUUACUGCACUUGUCCCUUUAGAAAAAAUAUCCAUGGUCCCGGAUAUCCAUAUGCCUGCCCCGCUAGGAAGAGCGAGGCUGCGGCUGCAGCUCAGAGCCCCCCACUUUCCUGGACAGGUGGGGACGUGCUUCUUCCCACUGUUCUUGGCUAGGAGUGGCCCCAGCCCAUGCCUGCUGUGUCGCCUCUGCUCCUGUCAUUCCUAGCUGGUCCCCACGAUCAAGUGGGGAACAGCUGGUGGCUGGAAUAGCAGUACGUGUGCUCAAGUUUGUCUGUGUAACUCUGGGUGCAUGUGUCUGUCUGUCUGCCUGUAGCUAAAACCAGACUGUUGGGGGAGGUGGGUGUAUGUGUAUUUACGUCACUAAGUCUCAAGUGGGAGUAAGUGUGUGUGUAUGUGUGUGUGUGUAACCUAAGUUUGUUUGUAUCCAUGUUUCUGUCUAUCUGUCUGUGAGGGAGUGAGGCUAUUCAGCUGAGGCCCCCGUAGCUGGAGCAGCUGGCUCCUUUGAACCAGCGUGAGGAGGUUGGCAGCCCCACCAGAUGCCUGGUAGGAAUCUGCCAGGAUUAGCUGUGAAGCUGCCCUGCUUUCCUCCCAGAUGGGUCUGGACAGGUCUGGAUGAAUCACAAAUUCUGAAUCCCCUGUGGGCCCAUUUUCCUUCGUAAAACUCUCCGUCUGCUGGAAUGAGCAAAGUAAAAGCAGAUUGAGCCUGCGUUUGUAGGAGCCUCCUGAAAUAAAAUGUCCUGAUGUCGCCUCAGAGCCCACUGUGUUCUUGGGGUGUCAGGGCCACCGGAGUUCAACCCCGCUCUUCCUGGCAGGUGGCCGAGGUCUGAGCAUCUCCUCCGUAACACUCUUCUGUCCUGUGGUCCCCAGCCGGGAAAGACUCCACUAAACAGGUGCUAAAAGGGCACGGACACCACAGGGCACACACAACCAUUCUGUCCUCCUGUCUCUCUCUUCCACUCGUCAUUUGCUAAGGGACCCUGGAACUGGUGCCUCCCCGACUCUCACCUUCACGUGUAAAGACCCGUAAGCUCUAUGUGUGACAGGGGCCCAGAGGUCCGACUUCUCAGGAGAUUUAGAGUCCUCCUCUCCCUCCAGGGAACUCGCAUACCCUCUUGUCAGGCCUAGGAAGGUGUCGUGGAAUGUGGAAGGGGUCUAGUCUUGGAGUUGGGGCCUUCACCUCAAGCCCUGCCUCUAUCCCUCACCAGGUGGGGGUCCCUGAGCCCUCAUUCCUCAUUCGUGAGCAGAG